CCCACCGCCGGCUCCACCAUCGCGUCAGCGAGAACCUGUUUUUUGUCUGACGAUAUUCAUCUUCUGUCCGCUCCUCCAUGAACCCGAGCUUGAGAUUCUGGUUUGUGCGGCAUUCAGUUCAAGGCAACAGGCCUUUGCAGAGAUGUGUGCGUUCCUAGUUUUUGAAGCUAUGUUGCGACGAUGAGGAUUUCCGUGGGUAGGUCUUUUAUUUGUUAGACUCAGUAUCUUAGCGUGCGUAGAAUACUCUGUUGCAUGUUUUGUUGGGAAGAGACUCGGUUAGGAGAAUUAUUCCAGCUAUGGCGCAUUACUGGGCUUCUUGUGCGGGCGGACUCCAGUUUGCACUCGUCAAAGAGUUGGAAAAUCUUGAAGGAACAAGUAUAAUCCCUGGCAUUGAUACCUAUGGAGGCGUACAGUUUCGAACAACGUCACCCCUUCAGAAAGUUGCAGAGUUAAGAUCUGCUGAUAACGUGUAUGCCUUUCUAUCCCAUGAAAAGAAUAUUCCUGUGGACAAGGAAGUAGGUGUGGCUUUCAUGCAGUCUCUAGCGAGCAAGAUCGACUGGGGGCCUGUCAUGCAACUUCACAAACAGUGGCAGGAAGCAGAAGAAACCUGUUCCACAUCUAGAACUAGCGAUCCUCUUUUGACAAUGAACGGAAUUACAAAUACCGAUCAAACGUGUGAAGUUACACAGAUGUCCUUCCGAGUGACAGGAAACAGAAUUUGCAUGAACAUGAAGAAGCAUGGCUACACCUCUAUGGAUGUUGCAGUCUCAAACAGGCUAAAUCCAGUCUAUGCUGUUUUGAAAAAAAAAAAAAAAUUUUGUGCAGCUGCCAUUGGGGAUGGCAUUCACGAGUUGCACGGAUGGCCAGCUGACAUGAGAAGCUAUAAUGUAGAAGUUUUGGCUUGGAUAAUUGAUGACGAACUUCUUCUGCUCCUUGCUCUCAUCUACAGUGGCAACAAGAAAAAUACUACGAACCUUCAAAACUCAAGCAAGAUCGACGAACCUCAUUCCAAUCAUGCCUCUGAAGAACAAGAGUUAGGGGGCGAGCAAGCCAAUUUGACCAAGAAGAAGGGCCGUGUAGACAGGCCAAGUCGUGCUGACGCUCAGCUCUAUUCUCGAAGGCCAUACCGAAAAGCAUUAGUGCACACUUCGCUGAAGCCCAGCACAGCAUAUGGGAUUUUGCAACUGGCUGACGUACAACCGGGCGACAUCGUGCUCGAUCCCAUGUGUGGUUGUGGAACUAUACCGUUGGAGGCUAGCGAUUGGCUAGGUUCAAGAAUCAUGGGUCUUGGUGGUGAUUUCAUAAAUACUGCAAUUGAAGCAUCACGUGUAAACUCUGUUGCUGGUGAAUCCGCAGGACCUUGUGACAUAGUCCAGUGGGAUGCAUCAAUGCUUCCAUUGCGAACUGCAAGCGUUGACCGUGUCAUAUGUGACAUGCCAUUUGGAAACCGUUGUGGCAACCACAAGGUUAGGGAGGUUCUUUGUCCAAGGGUUGUUAAACAGGUUGUUCGUGUUCUGAGACCUGGAUCAGGGGUAGCAGUACUCAUGGCUCAAAGUAAGACUAUGAAAGAGGAAAUAGUGGUGAAUCAAAAAGCCUAUUUGAGCCUACAGCAGCAUUUUUAUGUACACAUGGAGGGUUUGAAGGUUGAUGUCUUUGUCGUGCACCGUACCACAGAAGCUGCCCCCACUCAGCAAAUUGUGAAGCCAAGUAAGAAAAUGGUUAAGCGUAAGCGGGACGGACAGUUCAUCAAGCCAUCUUCACCAGAGAUUGCGUGAUCUGAAAGCCUGGUGUACUGAUACUGCCAAAGUGGGUUGUACAAAUUGCAAGUCGGCAUCAAACAUUGUAUUGAAUUUAUCAUCACUUGUCCACAUUAUAUAUGAUUGCUGGGCAUCCUCAACCUCUGUGCCCUUGCUUAACAUUGAGAAAUGUUUUCUGGCACUAAUAAUGAAGCAAAGGAGAACAGAUCUUGCUUGGAGUGCUACGAUCGUUGAUAGUGAUAGAUCUGAGCUGAAUUCAAGAGACCGUCGGUACAAGAAACAUAUCACACUGCACAUUGAAUACGUGCCAGAGUUCGUCGUCAUCUGCCUCUGUUGCAUGUCUUGGCAUACCAGGCUUGUGUAUGAACGGCCUCCUCUUGUGUGCUUGAUCCAGGUUCAGUUGCUGCUUGCGUUUUGUUGCAGGGUGUGCUUAUUUUUGACGCUCUACCUGAACUCAGUUUGAGUGCCCUUACGAAGCAGACGGUGGAUUUUGAUUUCAAUGUCCAUAUGACCUCGGCACUGUGUCAAAUUUUUCUCUUAGCAAUACAUUUAUACUAGUUCAGCAUGCGUACAAUGAAUCGAUUUGCUUCUUGUAUUAACUUCAACUAACAGCAGUAACAGUAUACUAGGGUAGUUUUUGUGGGAGUGGUAUAGCUCUGUAGCAUGGAAAGAGAAAUUAGGGGUCGCUGAUGGUGGAGAUUUUCUUGGAGGAUGAGAAACCAAGAAACAAUUUAGUAGAAGUCAGAUCACUUGUUGAAGCUGGGUUCACUAAAUUGUAAUGAGUUCAUGAUCUUUUAAAAAUACAUUAAAUAUGAACAAAGACAUUCUGAAG